GUGGCCUACAAUGCAAAGCCACAUCUGACAACCCGGAACCAUACCGCCAUCACCAGGCUCCACACAUCAAACCCAACAGAGUGCUACGGCGUGAAAGAGGCUUUCCAUACCUGGGGAAAUCCUCAUCCUGCCACUCCUCCUUUAGCUCCACCCCCUCCAUUCUUAGCCGCGCCUCUGUGGUGGCCACGGACUCCUGACGCUCCAGACUGCAGAAAACAAAAACAAGCAAACAAGCAUUAGUUAUGAGGUGCGUUCACCUUCACACUGCUACAUAGCCAAUGGUAAUGAGCCAAAUAAAUAGCAGACUCCAUCUAGCACGUUCAUUGGCUGAUUCAGCAGGCAUUGUAGAUCCCCGACUCAUCCUCGUUGCGUACCUGAGCUCAAGCCUUUAGUGUGGCUGGAUGUGUAGAAAAGAAAAAAAUACUCUUCACUCUACAUCUACCCUACACAGAGUUUGAUGCACCUAGUAAAAUAUAUAAUUCUAUUUAAUGGUCAGUGUUGCUGAAGUGAUGUUUUCUGCUGGCUAUUACUGGUUAUAUGUGCUCCCUUAACCCGUACUCUUAAACGGCACUGACCCCAAGCGGUUAGCAUCCACACCCAGCUGACUCCCCUGAAAUUAUAUAUUUUUUUGGUCUUUAAGUGGAGAAAAACAGGCCAUAUUUUCAUUGCCGAAAGGACACUCAAUUGAUGCAGUAUGCCCCUGUAGCCUGGCUGUAGUGCACAUCAAUGCCCGAUUCACAGCCCUCCGAACUGUUCAUUAAAAAUCAGCCCAGCUACCACCCAGCUACCACCCAGCUGCACAGUUGGGUCUUUGCCUGAGAGGAAUUUUCAAAUGCGAAGAAGCAGUGUAUUAAGGCUAGUGUUGCAGUUCAUUGCUUAAUUGGACAAAACAUAUAUCCAUCUGCUAAUGAUGACAACAGCUACAGACUGGUCCUUUGAUCCACAGGCUCUUGUGAACUGGGGCCCUUAUCAAAUCACUACGAUACUCAUACUUACAAAUGUCUUUAAUGUGGCAAAUGUUUGGGUAAAUAUCAGAGGAAAAGAAACAUCAACAAGCAAACACUUGCUGUACAAGAUUAUUUUUCCCCCCUUGUAAAUUGUUUUGUAGAAUGGCCAAGGAAAAUCUAAGAGAAGAAUUCAGUCUGACCUUAAAGGAAAUGAUCAAAUGAUAUUCCCUCCAAGUAUUAUCCUGCUUAGCCCCUUAUUUAGAAAUCAACAAACUGUGCAAUUGGUGAAAUUCAGGAUGUUUUUUAGACUAGAUGUUUGGUUGAGGCAUUAAAUUAAAAUCAGACUAAUAAAAUACUUUUGUAAACAUUUUAAUUACAACUUCGCAUUAACUUUGUUUCAGAGAAAAGCUCCACCUUCACAAUGAGAAAAUAGAGGAAAUAAUGACUAAUCAUUUUGAAAAAGGUUACAUAACAUUUCCUGUAGAUGUUUUAGAACAGCAAAAAAAAAGCAGAUGAAAUUGAACGCAGGGUUCUUAUGGCGAUCACACAUUGGAUUGUAUUGCACACAGUUCAGUUUUCAGGCUGGUUAUACCUAUGUGAUAUUGUAUGGUGGGAGUUGAGCAUGGUCAUAACCCAAAUGAACCAUGAUGCUGGAGGUGGUCAUAACCCACAUGGGUACAGGUAUUUUAGAAUGGUCUUCUUAACCCAGACAUUAUCACAAGCAGCCUUUUCUGGGCAUCAAUAAUCCAAGUGGUAAUUUAUGCACGGGUCUUAGGCUGUUGGUAACUCAACUGAUACUGUCUGCAAGUGUUUUUUUGUUGUUGUUAUAUAACCAAUGUGGUACCGCAGGCUGCAUUUUCAGGUGGUCAUAACCCAAAGAACUGCACGCAGGGCUGUCGUGACAGUGAUAAUCCGUACACGUGGUACAGCAUGCGGCGGAUUUCCCGGUGCUGCCAGGACUGCUUCAGCGAUAGCGGCCUCCAUUUUGCCCCACAGUCACAGCGACAGGAAAAGGCAAACAGGAAGGAGACGCGGUGUGGCAGUGUGAGGAGCUGACAUGAGCAGCAGUGCGGAAGAGCAGUCCACCCUCCUACUGGAGACGGCCGAGCUAGCGGCCUGCUGUGCACGCUAGCGGUCAUGCCCUUUCUCCUAAUGAGGACGAGGAAUGUCCCAGGAUACUGUUACCAUCCCUGCCCCCGGUACCCUGGUGUGCGUCAGGCCAGGAAGCUGUGCCUGCUCGGUGCCAUUUGUUAUUGGGGCGGGGGGCCUUUCCACAGGCAGUUACUUCAGAACCCCUCAGAACAAACACUUUUUUUGAAGAUGGAUUUACCACCCCCAACAAUGUCUUCUCUCCACUGAUACCAAGGAAACUGUGGCUUAUUACAUUUACGACAAAGAAAACGCACCCAAAAUGAUUUAAGAAGGGAGUUUUCAGGUAAAUGUACCAAUCAGACUAAGGGUUAUGAGCAAAUACACGCUGCUUACUGUCAGCCUGGAGUUCUACUACGAUGAAUACAAAACUGUGUUGCCCCCAAAAGGGUAGAGGUGAAGGUGGAAUACAAAACCCCUACUGGCAAUCUGAUAUAGCAAAAUCCACACAAAACCAGAGAUGUAAACAGCACCUAGGGUGGUACUAUGGGAAAACUGGAGAGAACAAAUGUUUAUCCACGCUGAAAGGCCAUACAAUGUAAUGUGUUCCUGAAAGGCAGAAAGUUUUUUCCUAUGAUACUUUUUAAAAAUAUAUGCUGACUUACCCCCCAGGACAAAAUGAAAAAUUUAUUUUAAAAGUACCAUAUAUAAUAAGUAAAGAACAUUCCUACGAACAAUGUAACACCUCUCAUUAAAAGAGAAACAUUACCUCCGAUUUUAUUUCUUUUACAGGGGUUGGCAAGGUGUGUGUGUGUGUGUGUGUGUGUCUUGUGGCGGCGGUGGUGGGGGGGGGCAGGGUUCAGUUCAGCUGCUGAUCUGAACCCCCACCACACCACCCGCAGGAAGUAGACCAGCUCUUUUCAGGGGUUCACGCCAAGUCAAAACCAGACUCAGCUGCAAACCAAAAAGGGUCUCUUUGAAAGCCCUCUGAAAGGACUGACCAGCAGGUGGAUGGAAAAUGCUGUCCAUUUCUUUCACGGGUUUGUAGCCAAGGAGGCUAAAUAAAGUUGAUUUUUUAAAAAUGAAACUGAUAUAACAUGUACUGCGGCUGUAAAAGUGAAUUAAACAAUACGACCAAUGAAAAUAUUGAAGGCCAAAUAAAAAUACUUAACCUCACAAUGUUA